rnacentral:rRNA from 1 species
AUUGAACGCUGGCGGCAUGCUUUACACAUGCAAGUCGAACGGCAGCACGGGCUUCGCCCUGGACGCGAGUGGGCAACGGGUGAGCAAUGCAUGGGAACGUGUCGAGUAGGGGGGGAUAGUGCGGCGAAAGCAGGAUUCAUACCGCAUACGACCUGAGGGUGGUAGCGGGGGACCGAGAGGCCCCCCGCAGUCGCAGCGACCGAUGUCGGAUUAGCUAGUUGGUGGGGUAGAGGCUUACCAAGGCGACGAUCCGUAGCUUGUCUGCGAGGACGACCAGCCACAGUGGUAGUGAGACGCGGACCAGACUCCCAAGGGAGGCAGCGGUGGGGAAAUAUGGCCAAUGGGAGCAAGCGUGAGCCAGCCAUACCGCGUGGGGGAAGAAGGCCUUCCGGUUGUAAAACGCUGUUGUUGGGGAAGAAAUGCUCUCGGUUGAUCCCCCGCUGAGACGACGGUACCAGAAGAAUAAGCACCGGCUAACUGCGUG